AUUGAACGCUGGCGGCAUGCUUUACACAUGCAAGUCGAACGGUAACAGGCCGCAAUUUGCUGACUAGUGGCGAACGGGUGAGUAAUGCAUCGGAACGUGCCCAGUCGUGGGGGGUAACUACUCGAAAGAGUAGCUAAUACCUCAUACGAUCUAUUAAUGAAAGCGGGAGACCUUAAUGCCUCGCGCGAUUUUAGCGGCCGAUGUCAGAUUAGGUAGUUGGGGGGGUAAAGGCUCACCAAGCCAAGGAUCUGUAGCUGGUCUGAGAGGACGAACCGCCACACUGGGACUGAGGAACGGCCCAGACUCCUAAGGGAGGCAGCCGUGGGGAAUUCUGCACAAUGGGGGCAAGCCUGAUCCAGCAAUGGCGCGUGCAGGAAGAAGGCUUUCGGGUUGUAAAAUGCCUUUGUACGGAAAGAAACGGAUCUGGUUAAUACCCGGGGCUAAUGACGGUACCGUAAGCAUAAGCCCCGGCUAAAUUCGUG
rnacentral:rRNA from 1 species